GAAAAUGAAUAUUCUCUAAAAAGUGAUGAUAGAAAUUUUGUAAUCAUGAUCGAGAGUAUAGAUCUUGUUCUAAAUAGUUUAAAAAAUUUUCUAACCAAAAUUCAAUUGAUUUGGAUAGCUUUACACUGUUAAACGAGAAAACCCCUCAUAUCAACCAUUAAAAUUACUAAUUUUGAAACCCUUUGAUCAUUAAGUAAAUGAUGUCGAAAGAUUUGAAAUUUAAUUUCUAAAUUCUUCAAGUGAUAUAGAUCAUGUUCAACGGUGCCGAUUGUCGAUUUGAAAGCUCCAUCAUCGAAAACAAAUGGAUUGCAACGAAGCCCGUUUACUACUGAUAGCAUUCCAGCUCAACUCUCAAAAUACAUAUACUCUAUAUAGAGCUAGGCUGGUAUACUAUCGGUAGCACAGAGGCUUCUGUGCUACCAAGUUGUUUUCAAUGAUGUGGCUUCCAAAUCGACGAUCGGCUCCGUUAGACUUGAUCUACAUUACUGAAAGUAUUUGAAAACUAAAUUUCAUAAUUUUUCGACGUCAUUUACCUAUCAAACGAGUAGUCUAAAAAUGAACGGCUGAAAAUAAAAAUCUAUUAAAAAAUGAUGAUAAAAGACUUAAAUUUAAGAUCAGAUGUACUGAUCUUACUCUAAAUAGUGAAAAGAAUUUUCUAUAAAAAUUUCAUUAGAUUUGAAUUGUUUUACACCGUUAAAUUCACAAACGCAUCACAUCUAUCAUUAAAAUUAUCAAUUUUGAGACAUUUUGAUCACUAGCCAAAUAAUGUCAAAAAAUUAUAAAAUUUAGUUUUCAAAUACUUUCAAUAGUGUAGAUCAAGUCUAACGAAGCCGAUCGUCGAUUUGGACGCCGCAUCAUUAAAAACAACUUGAUAGCACGGAGGCCUCCGUGCUACUGAUAGUAUACCACCCUAGCUCCUCU
rnacentral:lncRNA from 1 species